rnacentral:rRNA from 1 species
AACGAACGCUGGCGGCAGGCCUAACACAUGCAAGUCGGGCGCCCCGCAAGGGGAGCGGCGGACGGGUGAGUAACGCGUGGGAAUAUGCCCUUUGCUACGGAAUAGUCUCGGGAAACUGGGGGUAAUACCGUAUACGCCCUUUGGGGGAAAGAUUUAUCGGCGAAGGAUUAGCCCGCGUUGGAUUAGGUAGUUGGUGGGGUAAUGGCCUACCAAGCCGACGAUCCAUAGCUGGUUUGAGAGGAUGAUCAGCCACACUGGGACUGAGACACGGCCCAGACUCCUACGGGAGGCAGCAGUGGGGAAUCUUAGACAAUGGGGGCAACCCUGAUCUAGCCAUGCCGCGUGAGUGAUGAAGGCCUUAGGGUUGUAAAGCUCUUUCAGCUGGGAAGAUAAUGACGGUACCAGCAGAAGAAGCCCCGGCUAACUCCGUG